rnacentral:rRNA from 1 species
GACGAACGCUGGCGGCGUGCUUAACACAUGCAAGUCGAGCGGUAAGGCCCUUUCGGGGGUACGACGAGCGGCGAACGGGUAGGAGUAACAACGUGGGUGGACCUCGCCCUCCAGCUCUGGGAGUAAAGCCUCGGGAAACCGGGGUACCGUAAUAACUGGAGUAUGACUCCAUGACGCAUGUUGUGGGGUGGGAAAGACCUUGUGCGGC